CCUACGGGAGGCAGCAGUGGGGAAUAUUGGACAAUGGGGGAAACCCUGAUCCAGCGACGCCGCGUGAGUGAAGAAGUAUUUCGGUAUGUAAAGCUCUAUCAGCAGGGAAGAAAGAAAUGACAGUACCUUACUAAGAAUCCCCGGCUAACUACGUGCCAGCCGCCGCGGUAAUACGUAGGGGGGCAGCGUUAUCCGGAUUUACUGGGUGUAAAGGGAGCGUAGACGGGGAUGCAAGUCUGAAGUGAAAGGCGGGGGCUCAACCCCCGGACUGCUUUGGAAACUGUAUGGCUGGAGUGCAGGAGAGGUAAGUGGAAUUCCUAGUGUAGCGGUGAAAUGCGUAGAUAUUAGGAGGAACACCAGUGGCGAAGGCGGCUUACUGGACUGUAACUGACGUUGAGGCUCGAAAGCGUGGGGAGCAAACAGGAUUAGAUACCCCAGUAGUC
rnacentral:rRNA from 1 species